rnacentral:rRNA from 1 species
CCUACGGGAGGCAGCAGUGAGGAAUAUUGGUCAAUGGACGAGAGUCUGAACCAGCCAAGUAGCGUGAAGGAUGACUGCCCUAUGGGUUGUAAACUUCUUUUAUAUGGGAAUAAAAUGUUCCACGUGUGGGAUUUUGGAUGUACCAUAUGAAUAAGGAUCGGCUAACUCCGUGCCAGCAGCCGCGGUAAUACGGAGCAUCCGAGCGUUAUCCGGAUUUAUUGGGUUUAAAGGGAGCGUAGGUGGAUUGUUAAGUCAGUUGUCAAAGUUUGCGGCUCAACCGUAAAAUUGCAGUUGAAACUGGCAGUCUUGAGUACAGUAGAGGUGGGCGGAAUUCGUGGUGUAGCGGUGAAAUGCUUAGAUAUCACGAAGAACUCCGAUUGCGAAGGCAGCUUACUAAACUGCCACUGACAUUGAUGCUCGAAAGUGUGGGUAUCAAACAGGAUUAGAUACCCCAGUAGUC